rnacentral:rRNA from 1 species
ACGGACGAAAUCAGUGAUCCUAUGCUGCCGAGAAAAGCAUCGACGCGAGGUUCCAAUCGCCCGUACCCCAAACCGACUCAGGUGGUCAGGUAGAGAAUACUAAGGAGAUCGAGAGAAUCGUGGUUAAGGAACUCGGCAAAAUGCCCCCGUAACUUCGGGAGAAGGGGGGCCUGAGGCGUGUAGGGAUUUACUCCUGAAGCGUUUGAAGGCCGCAGAGACCAGUGGGAAGCGACUGUUUACUAAAAACACAGGUCCGUGCUAAGUCGCAAGACGAUGUAUACGGACUGACGCCUGCCCGGUGCUGGAAGGUUAAGAGGAACGGUUAGCACGCAAGUGCGAAGCUGAGAAUUUAAGCCCCAGUAAACGGCGGUGGUAACUAUAACCAUCCUAAGGUAGCGAAAUUCCUUGUCGGGUAAGUUCCGACCUGCACGAAUGGCGUAACGACUUCCCAGCUGUCUCAACCGCGAACUCGGCGAAAUUGCACUACGAGUAAAGAUGCUCGUUACGCGCAGCAGGACGGAAAGACCCCGUGACCUUUACUACAGCUUGGUAUUGGUGUUCGGUGUGGCUUGUGUAGGAUAGGUGGGAGACUGUGAAGCUCGGACGCUAGUUCGGGUGGAGUCAUUGUUGAAAUACCACUCUGGUCACUCUGGAUAUCUAACUUCGAACCGUAAUCCGGUUCAGGGACAGUGCCUGGUGGGUAGUUUAACUGGGGCGGUUGCCUCCUAAAGAGUAACGGAGGCGCCCAAAGGUUCCCUCAACCUGGUUGGUAAUCAGGUGUCGAGUGUAAGUGCACAAGGGAGCUUGACUGUGAGACUGACAAGUCGAGCAGGGACGAAAGUCGGGACUAGUGAUCCGGCAGUGGCUUGUGGAAGCGCUGUCGCUCAACGGAUAAAAGGUACCUCGGGGAUAACAGGCUGAUCUUGCCCAAGAGUCCAUAUCGACGGCAUGGUUUGGCACCUCGAUGUCGGCUCGUCGCAUCCUGGGGCUGGAGUAGGUCCCAAGGGUUGGGCUGUUCGCCCAUUAAAGCGGUACGCGAGCUGGGUUUAGAACGUCGUGAGACAGUUCGGUCCCUAUCCGCUGCGCGCGUAGGAAAUUUGAGAAGAUCUAUCCCUAGUACGAGAGGACCGGGAUGGACGAACCUCUGGUGUGUCAGUUGUUCCGCCAGGAGCACCGCUGAUUAGCUACGUUCGGAACGGAUAACCGCUGAAAGCAUCUAAGCGGGAAGCCGGCUUCGAGAUGAGAUUUCCAUCCCUUUUAGGGUGAAGGCUCCCGGCUAGACUACCGGGUUGAUAGGCAGGAUGUGGAAGCGAGGACUAAAGACUCGUGGAGCUGACCUGUACUAAUAAGCCGAUAUCUUGAAAAC